rnacentral:RNase_P_RNA from 1 species
UGAGCCGGCCGGGCGGCCGCGGCACCGCGAACCACCCCAACCUCGGGGAAGGCGCGGGUCGAGGAAAGUCCGGACUCCACAGGGCACGGUGGUUGCUAACAGCAACCCGGAGCGAUCCGCGGGAAAGUGCAACAGAAAGUAGACCGCCUCGGCAACGAGGUCAGGGUGAAAGGGUGCGGUAAGAGCGCACCGGCAUCUGCGGUGACGUAGGUGGCCAGGUAAACCCCACCGGGAGCAAGGCAAGAGCCCCCGCCCGAAACGGCGGAGGUCGUCGGAUGUAGGCUGCCCGCCCAGUCCGAAGGUAGCUGCUUGAGGCCCCCAGCGAUGGGAGGCCCAGAUGGAUGGUCGCCGCCCCGCAAGGGGAACAGAAUCCGGCUCAUAGGCCGACUCAUUCG